rnacentral:rRNA from 1 species
UACAGAGGGUGCAAGCGUUAAUCGGAAUUACUGGGCGUAAAGCGUGCGUAGACGGUUAUGUAAGUUAGGUGUGAAAGCCCCGGGCUCAACCUGGGAAUUGCAUUUAAGACUGCAUAGCUAGGGUGCGGAAGAGGGAAGCGGAAUUUCCGGUGUAGAGGUGAAAUUCGUAGAUAUCGGGAGGAACACCAGUGGCGAAGGCGGCGAUCUGGGUCGAUACUGACGCUGAGGUGCGAAAGCGUGGGGAGCAAACAGG